AACAAACGCUGGCGGCGUGCCUAAUACAUGCAAGUCGAGCGAAUCGAUGGGAGCUUGCUCCCUGAGAUUAGCGGCGGACGGGUGAGUAACACGUGGGUAACCUGCCUGUAAGACUGGGAUAACUUCGGGAAACCGGAGCUAAUACCGGAUACUUUCUUUUCUCGCAUGAGGGAAGAUGGAAAGAUGGUUCUGCUAUCACUUACAGAUGGACCCGCGGCGCAUUAGCUAGUUGGUGAGGUAACGGCUCACCAAGGCAACGAUGCGUAGCCGACCUGAGAGGGGGAUCGGCCACACUGGGACUGAGAAACGGCCCAGACUCCUACGGGAGGCAGCAGUAGGGAAUCUUCCGCAAUGGACGAAAGUCUGACGGAGCAACGCCGCGUGAGCGAAGAAGGCCUUCGGGUCGUAAAGCUCUGUUGUUAGGGAAGAACAAGUACGAGAGUAACUGCUCGUACCUUGACGGUACCUAACCAGAAAGCCACGGCUAACUACGUGCCAGCCGCCGCCGUAAAAC
rnacentral:rRNA from 1 species